UUUAGUCACAUUUAUAUGAGAAGCAGUAAGGGAAGACAUCUUAGUACUGAGGCAUCUACAUAGUAAAAUUCUAUAAAUCGUGCAAAUAUUAGACAUGUAACAACAUAUAGAACACAUUUUCACGAUAAACAGUACAUUUCCAAAGAACCCCUCGUGUGCUGAAAAUUAGUUAGAUAUUUUGACUAAUUUCCGUUUGAACCGACGAAAGCUUACCUUCUCGCUGGGCUGGGGCUAUCGCUGACACGGGUGGAGGUAUGGCCUGGGGGAAUUGACCAUAAACUGCGGGCUUUGACUAAGCUCGGUCACCAUCCGCUAAAGUAAUUUUCUAACGAAGCAAUUACACAACGAAAUUGACUUACCAACUCCCGGAUAUCCGGGUUGCAUUGCCUGGAAUGCGGCUGGAUGCUGUAAAGCCGCCUCGCCG